ACAGUCAUGGCCUACUGGUUAGGGCUUCAGGCUUGUAACCGGAGGGUUGCCGGUUCGAUCCCCGACCAGUAGGA
rnacentral:tRNA from 1 species